UGACCAAUAGCCAUCCUGCCUCAUGAAGAAAAAAAAGUUUUGUCUGAUUCUUGCACAACAAGUUAUAGGAGUUUCAUAUAAAUUAAAUGAAAAUGCCUGGUUUUGGGGGUUUUUUUUGGCAUUUAUAGAUUCUGAGAACUCAACAUGACCUCACAAAAUAACUAAUCUUCUUCAGCCUGGAGGUGGAACUCCACUUCUGCCAAUCUGAGUCAACCUAAGCUAACCUAAACCUAAACAGCCUUCUUGAUAUGGUCUGAAAUAUGGCAGUCUUUAAUCAACAGAAUGUAACUUAUUCAUGCUGAAGUCAAGAGACAUGGAAGGGGGAAAGAGCUGGGGCCAAAUCAUCAGCUCGAUUAUGUGGAAGAUGGAGUUGGUGGCUGCGGAUGUAGGGUGAUGAAGGGAAGAGCAGUGAAUCAAUACCAGGAUGAAAACAGAGCUGAGAAUGAAGAAGAGGUCAGAUUGAAGGGUUUUAUAUGAGGAUCACAUCAUACAGAUCUUACAAAUCUAAUCAAAAGGAUUCAAAACUGAAAAUGGACCAUAGCUGUCCAGCCAGAAGUGAUCUUAGAAAUCAUGAAGUUAACCUCAUUUGCAGAUGAGGCAACUAGGGCCAGAGAAUUUAAAUGACUUGUGUGAGGUCACCAAAGGAAUCUAUUUCUAUACAUAUUAUAAGUUAUAGAAUCAGGAUUCAAACCCAGAUCCUUUAAAGCCAGCACCCUGUAGAAUGCAUCCCCCAUCCUACAGCAAGGAUAUAACAAAGUUCCCACAACUGAAUGCACUUAGUUUUCUACAAGUGUUUUCACGGAGCACUGUAGAGAUAUGAGUUAUAUGACUAUUAUUAUACCCAGCUGUGCUAGGCAAGCCUUCCAACCUUCACUAAAUUAAUUGUAGCCGGACAGCUCCUGCUGGUGGCAGCAACUUCACUGUCGAAGUAAAUGACUAUUUCCAAGUGGCAGUGGACAAAUCAUGGUACCUUAAAGACAAGCAGAGAAUAGUGGAAAAACAAUUAGCUUAAAAGGAAAUGUCUUUAUUAUUGGUUGCAUACAAUAUUCCCAAGUUUCCCUCUUUGGAGGUUCUCUAAAUUGGAACCCUAUGAAGACCAAAGGACCAUCUUGUAAUAUUACAAAUAUCGUAGCAUCAAAGGAUGAGAGAAUUAUAGCUUCUAACUGGAUUAGUUCUAUAUCCAUGUAGAAGAACCUGUUAAACUAGAAUUAUGGCAAUUCUUUUUGUAAUG